rnacentral:lncRNA from 1 species
CAGAGACGCUCCUCACUUUCCAGACUGGGCAGCCAGGCAGAGGGGCUCCUCACAUCCCAGUCGAUGGGCGGCCAGGCAGAGACGCUCCUCACUUCCCAGACUGGGUGGCGGCCGGGCAGAGGCUGCAAUCUCGGCACUUUGGGAGACCAAGGCAGGCGGCUGGGAGGUGGAGGUUGUAGUGAGCCGAGAUCACGACACUGCACUCCAGCCUGGGCACCAUUGAGCACUGAGUGAACGAGACUCCGUCUGCAAUCCCGGCACCUCGGGAGGCCGAGGCUGGCGGAUCACUCGCGGUUAGGAGCUGGAGACCAGCCCGGCCAACACAGCGAAACCCCGUCUCCACCAAAAAAAUACGAAAACCAGUCAGGCGUGGUGGCGCGCGCCUGCAAUCGCAGGCACUCGGCAGGCUGAGGCAGGAGAAUCAGGCAGGGAGGUUGCAGUGAGCCAAGAUGGCAGCAGUACAGUCCAGCUUCGGCUCGGCAUCAGAGGGAGACCGUGG